rnacentral:lncRNA from 1 species
AGCAGCCAGCACAUCACCAUGUUAUUUUUUGCCUUCCAUGUUCAAUAACUUGGGCUCGUCUCCUCAGGUUGUACGGCAACUUUAGUUAGGUAAUCUUCUUUACUUUUUCUGCAAACGAAAAUCAUGACAGAAUGGGACCAUUGAUUGAAGUUGUGACUGGUAAGUUUAUGACCGGUGAUGAGAAGAGUUCCACCUUCGGAUAUAUUGAUAGGUUGGGUAAUGUGAGGAAAGUUCUGAGCUCUAGGAUAUGAAGUUUCACUCUCAGCCUCGCUUGCCAUGGUAGCUCUAGGGUAUUUUGUCAUGGUGGAAACUCUCAGAAAUAAGGUAGAAGAGAAUGGUCCAGAUCAUGCUCUGAUACCAUGAAGAAAUUUAGGAGAAAUUGCUCUGAGUUUUUUAUUCUCCAGAGAAUGAAUAUUUACAUGAGGCAUCUAACCUUUAUAUAGCUGCU